rnacentral:misc_RNA from 1 species
UUUUUUUUCCCUUUUUUUUUUUAUUAAAAGGAGGGGAAGGGGAUGCCGGCGUUAGAACCCUUGACCCCCUGCAUUCUAAGCAAGCACUUGAUUAUUGGGCCUAACGAUGAAAUACUUUUGAGUGAAAGAUCAGAUUCAUUUAUGGUUUUAGCAGAUAAUUUAAUCAAACUGUGGCUUGUGUCAAGAAUUCACCAUUACACCUUUUGGCUGUUGCAUUGUUAAACUGUUAAUGAUUACUGUUGGCAUCUGCUGGGAUGUUACCUUGAGUUGUACCCUUUGAUUUGAUCAUAUGUAUGGUGUAUGUGUUGUGCCUCCUAGCUAAGGGAUCAUUCUUGCAGAAGGUUUUCUCUCUAAUGUCAGGAGAAACACAUACAUGGUUCUCCUUGAUCUUAGUUUUGAAUGCAGCCUUUUGCGCUUUAUUUUAGUUUUGACUGCUAUCUUUUCUGCUUUGUUAGUUAAUGCUAUUUGGGAAUUUACAAAAUUCAGUAUCAGGAGUCUGCAUGUAUAAAACUGUCAUGAGCAUGACUGGCAUUCCGGAAGUAUGCUGUCCAUUUCUUUUGGGGAAGGGGUACAUGUCCCGAUGUCCAUGGCAGGAUUACCCCCACGUGUGCCUAAUUUUGGUUCAGACCACAAUUUCACUGCAUGAAACAUUAAUCCAAAAUAAAUGUGUUUGGAAGCAUUCUUUUUCUGCUUUUCCACUAUAAUUUUAUCUCCUCUACAUAUUCCCCAAAACUGUUUGUACCCAUCAUCCAAUUCCAUCAAGCCUAUUAUUUUGACCUAGUCACAACCAAACAGAAAAACAGAAGAAAGUGGGAAGAAAAUAGAAGAAAGGGAA